GAUGAACGCUGGCGGCGUGCCUAAUACAUGCAAGUAGAACGCUGACGGAGGAGCUUGCUCUUCUGGAUGAGUUGCGAACGGGUGAGUAACGCGUAGGUAACCUGCCUGGUAGCGGGGGAUAACUAUUGGAAACGAUAGCUAAUACCGCAUGACAACAGUUAUUGCAUGAUAACUGUUUAAAAGGGGCAACUGCUCCACUACCAGAUGGACCUGCGUUGUAUUAGCUAGUUGGUGAGGUAACGGCUCACCAAGGCGACGAUACAUAGCCGACCUGAGAGGGUGAUCGGCCACACUGGGACUGAGACACGGCCCAGACUCCUACGGGAGGCAGCAGUAGGGAAUCUUCGGCAAUGGACGGAAGUCUGACCGAGCAACGCCGGGGGAGUGAAGAAGGGUUUCGGAUCGGAAAGCUCUGUUGUAAGAGAAGAACGAGUGUGAGAGUGGAAAGUUCACACUGUGACGGUAUCUGACCAGAAAGGGACGGCUAACUACGUG
rnacentral:rRNA from 1 species